GGACAGGAGGGCAAUCUGGCCACAAUGUCUGUUACCUCACUGAUGACCAAAGUUGAUUUGGAUAAUCUGACUGGCUAGGUGGGUGUCCCUUUCCUCCCUCACUACUCCAUGUGUGUCCCUCCAGAAACUGAUGCUCAGUCAAAGUGGAUGACCUUCCCAGAUUAAGGAGGACUAUUCUUGUUGGAGUGGCUUAAGUGCUAGAGUGCCCACCUAACAAGUGCGAGAUCAAGUCCAACCCCCAGUACUGUCAAAAUGUGUGUGUGUGUGUGUGUGU
rnacentral:sRNA from 1 species